rnacentral:rRNA from 1 species
CCUACGGGUGGCAGCAGUGAGGAAUAUUGGUCAAUGGGCGGGAGCCUGAACCAGCCAAGUCGCGUGAGGGAAGACGGUCCUAUGGAUUGUAAACCUCUUUAGCCGGGGAGCAAUGCCGGGCACGUGUGCCCGGAGGGAGAGUACCCGCAGAAUAAGCAUCGGCUAACACCGUGCCAGCAGCCGCGGUAAUCCGGAGGAUGCGAGCGUUAUCCGGAUUUAUUGGGUUUAAGGGGUGCGUAGGCGGAUUUUUAAGUCAGCGGUAAAAUGUCCGGGCUCAACCCGGGCCGGCCGUUGAAACUGGGGAGCUUGAGUGGGCGAGAAGUAUGCGGAAUGCGUGGUGUAGCGGUGAAAUGCAUAGAUAUCACGCAGAACUCCGAUUGCGAAGGCAGCAUACCGGCGCCCGACUGACGCUGAGGCACGAAAGCGUGGGGAUCGAACAGGAUUAGAUACCCUGGUAGUC